AACGCGAAGAACCUUACCUGGUCUUGACAUCCUGAGAACUUUCUAGAAAUAGAUUGGUGCCUUCGGGAACUCAGUGACAGGUGCUGCAUGGCUGUCGUCAGCUCGUGUCGUGAGAUGUUCGGUUAAGUCCGGCAACGAGCGCAACCCACAUCUUUAGUUGCCAUCAGGUUAUGCUGGGCACUCUAGAGAAACUGCCCGUGAUAAGCGGGAGGAAGGUGUGGAUGACGUCAAGUCCUCAUGGCCCUUACGAGUAGGGCUACACACGUGAUACAAUGGGAGAGACAGACGGACGCUAAGCCGCGAGGUGGUGCUAAUCCUAGAAACUCUCUCGUAGUCCGGAUUGGAGUCUGCAACUCGACUCCAUGAAGUUGGAAUUGCUAGUAAUCGCGGAUCAGCAUGCCGCGGUGAAUACGUUCUCGGGUCUUGUACACACCGAAU
rnacentral:rRNA from 1 species